CGGUGGAGCAUGUGGUUAAUUCGAUGCAACGCGAAGAACCUUACCAGGUCUUGACAUCCAACGAAUCCUUCUGAAAGGAAGGAGUGCCUUCGGGAGCGUUGAGACAGGUGGUGCAUGGUUGUCGUCAGCUCGUGUCGUGAGAUGUUGGGUUAAGUCCCGCAACGAGCGCAACCCUUGCUAUUAGUUGCUAACAGGUUAAGCUGAGCACUCUAAUGGGACUGCCGGUGACAAGCCGGAGGAAGGUGGGGAUGACGUCAAAUCAUCAUGCCCUUUAUGACCUGGGCUACACACGUGCUACAAUGGAUGGUACAGAGAGCAGCGAGGCAGCGAUGUGGAGCGAAUCUCAAAAAGCCAUUCUCAGUUCGGAUUGGAGUCUGCAACUCGACUCCAUGAAGUCGGAAUCGCUAGUAAUCGCGGAUCAGCACGCCGCGGUGAAUACGUUCCCGGGCCUU
rnacentral:rRNA from 1 species